UAAGGAAUCUUCCACAAUGGGCGAAAGCCUGAUGGAGCAACGCCGCGUGCAGGAUGAAGGCCCUCGGGUCGUAAACUGCUUUUAUGAGUGAAGAAUAUGACGGUAACUCAUGAAUAAGCACCGGCUAACUACGUGCCAGCAGCCGCGGUCAUACGUGGGGUGCAAGCAUUAUCCGGAGUGACUGGGCGUAAAGAGUUGCGUAGGCGGUUAGUAAAGCGAAUAGUGAAACCUGGUGGCUCAACCAUACAGACUAUUAUUCGAACUCACUAACUCGAGAGUGGUAGAGGUAACUGGAAUUUCUUGUGUGGGAGUGAAAUCCGUAGAUAUAACAAGGAACACCAAUGGCGUAGGCAGGUUACUGGACCAUUUCUGACGCUAAGGCACGAAAGCGUGGGGAGCGAACC
rnacentral:rRNA from 1 species